rnacentral:rRNA from 1 species
ACAGGUCUUGACAUCCGAUGCUAUUUCUAGAGAUAGAAGUUACUUCGGUACAUCGGUGACAGGUGUGCAUGGUUGUCGUCAGCUCGUGUCGUGAGAUGUUGGGUUAAGUCCCGCAACGAGCGCAACCCUUAUUGCUAGUUACCAUCAUUAAGUUGGGGACUCUAGCGAGACUGCCAGUGAUAAACUGGAGGAAGGUGGGGAUGACGUCAAAUCAUCAUGCCCCUUAUGACCUGGGCUACAAACGUGAUACAAUGGCUGAAACAAAGGGCAGCGAAGGAGCGAUCUGGAGCGAAACCCAAAAAAGCAGUCUCAGUUCGGAUUGAAGUCUGCAACUCGACUUCAUGAAGUCGGAAUCGCUAGUAAUCGCGGAUCAGAACGCCGCGGUGAAUACGUUCUCGGGGUUU